CCCGUGUCCGAUCAUCACGUGAGACGGACUAGUCACCAUGGUGAGCAACUUCAUGCUGAUCGUAUUCAACCAUACGACUCAUGUUCGACCUUUCGGUUUCUUGUAUUCGAGGUCAUGUCUGUACAUGCUAAGCUCGUCGAGUCAACCUAGGUGUUUCGCGUGUGUAAAUCUGGCUUACACCCGUUGUAUGCGAACGUUAGAAUCUAUCACACCCGAUCAUCACGUGGUGCUUCGAGACAACGAACCUUCGCAAUGGUGCACACUUAGGGGAAUACGUUCUCGAAAUUUUAAGAGGGAUCAUCUUAUUAUGCUACCGUCGUUCUAAGCAAUAAGAUGUAAAACAUGAUAAACAUCACAAUGCAAUCAUAUAGUGACAUGAUAUGACCAUUAUCAUCUUUGCUCUUUUGAUCUCCAUCUUCAGGCAUCACAUGAUCAUCAUCGUCACCGGCGUGACACCAUGAUCUCCAUCAUCGUGUCUCCGUGAAGUCGUCACGCCAGCUACUACUAUCGCUACUACUAUAGCUAACCGUUAGCAAUGAAGUAAAAGUAGUAAGCACAUGGCGUUGCAUCUCAUACAAUAAAUUAAGACAACUCCUAUGGCUCCUGCCGGUUGUCAUACUCAUCGACAUGCAAGUCGUGAAACCUAUUACAAUAACAUGAUCAUCUCAUACAUCAUACAUGCAACAUCACAACUUUGGCCAUAUCACAUCACAUGUCAAACCCUGCAAAAAACAAGUUAGACGUCCUCUAAUUGUUGUUGCAAGUUUUACGUGGCUGAUUUGGGUUUCUAGCAAGAACGCCUUCUUACCUACGUGACAACCACAACGAUGAUAUGCCAAAGCUAUUUACCCUUCAUAAGGACCCUUUUCAUCAAAUCCAAUCCGACUAGAGUAGGAGAGACAGACACCCACUAGCCACCUUUAUGCACGAUGUGCAUGUCCGUCGGUGGAACCAGUCUCACGUAAGUGUACGUGUAAAGUCGGUCCGGGCCGCUUCAUCCAACAAUACCGCCAAAAAAGAAUAAGACUAGUAGCCGCAAGCAAAUUGACAAAUCAUCGCCCACAACUUUUGUGUUCUACUCGUGCAUAGAAUCUACGCAUAGAAAACCUGGCUCGGAUGCCACUGUUGGGUAACGUAGCAUAAGUUCAAAAUUUUCCUACGCAUAUUCAGAUCUUCCUAUGGAGAGACCAGCAACGAGAGGGGUAAGAGCACCUUCAUACCUUUGAAGAUCGCUAAGCAGAAGCGUUGCUAGAACGCGGUUGAUGGAGUCGUACUCGCAGCGAUUCCGAUCUAGUGCCGAACUACGGCACCUCCGCGUUCAACACACGUGCAGCCCGGUGACGUCUCCCGCACCUUGAUCCAGCAAGGAGGAGGGAGAGGUUGGGGAAGAACUCCAGCAGCACUACGGCGUGGUGUCGAUGGAGAGACGAGGUCUCCCGGCAGGGCUUCGCCAAGCACCGGCAGAGAGGAGGAGGGAGAGGAACGGGGCUGCGCCGAGAGAGAGGAAAAACCGUGUGUCUCAAUGGCCAAAAGUGUCCGAUAUAUAGUAGGGGGAGGGGAGAGGGGGUGCCACCCCUAGGGUUCCCACCCUAAGGGGUGCGGCAGCCCCCCCAGAUGGGAGGUGCGGCGGCCAGAAGGGGAAGGAGGGGGUGGCGCACCAUCUGGUGGGCCUUAGGCCCACCUGGCCUAGGGUUUGCCCCCCUUUUUCUCUCCCUUGCGCUAUGGGCUGAGUGGGGAGGCGCACCAGCCCACCUAGGGGCUGGUUCCCACCCCCACUUGGCCCACCUUAUCUCCCGGGGUCGUUGCCCCCCUUCGGUGGUCCCCCGGGGCCACCUCCGGUGGUCCCGGUGGUCCCGGUACGUUACCGGUGAUGCCCGAAACACUUCCGUUAUCCGAAACCAUCCGUCCUAUAUAUCAAUCUUUACCUCCGGACCAUUCCGGAGCUCCUCGUGACGUCCGGGAUCUCAUCCGGACUCCAUACAACUUUCGGUAACCUCGUAUAACAAUUCCCUAUAACCCUAGCGUCAUCGAACCUUAAGUGUGUAGACCCUACGGGUUCGGGAGACAGGCAGACAUGACCGAGACACCUCUCUGGCCAAUAACCAUCAGCGGGGUCUGGAUACCCAUGGUGGCUCCCACUAGCUCCACGAUGAUCUCAUCGGAUGAACCACGAUGUCAAGGAUUUAAUCAAUCCCGUAUACGAUCCCGUUUGUCUGUCGGUAUAGAACUUGCCCGAGAUUCGAUCGUCGGUAUACCUAUACCUUGUUCAAUCUCGUUACCGGUAAGUCUCUUUACUCGUUCUGUAGCACGUCAUCGUGUGACUAACUCCUUAGUCACAUUGAGCUCAUGAUGAUGUUCUACCGAGUGGGCCCAGAGAUACCUCUCCGUCACACGGAGUGACAAAUCCCGAUCUUGAUUCGUACCAACCCAACAGACACUUUCGGAGGUACCCGUAGUGCACCUUUAUAGUCACCCAGUUAUGUUGUGACGUUUGAUACACCCAAAGCACUCCUAUGGUAUCCGGGAGUUGCACAAUCUCACGGUCGAAGGAAAAGAUACUUGACAUUAGAAAAGCAUCAGCAUACGAACAAUAUGAUCUAGUGCUAGGCUUAGGAUUGGGUCUUGUCCAUCACAUCAUUCUCCCAAUGAUGUGAUCCCGUUAUCAAUGACAUCUAAUGCCCAUGAUCAGGAAACCAUGAUCAUCUAUUGACUAACGAGCUAGCCAACUAGAGGCUUGCUAGGGACACAUUGUGAUCUAUUUAUUCACACAUGUAUUACUGUUUCCUGUUAAUACAAUUAUAGCAUGAACAAUAGACGAUUAUCAUGAACAAGGAAAUAUGAUAAUAACCAUUUUAUUAUUGCCUCUAGGGCAUAUUUCCAACAGUCUCCCACUUGCGCUAGAGUCAAUAAUCUAGUUACAUUGUGAUGUAUCAAACACCCAUAGCAUCAUGGUGUUGACCCUGUUUUGCUCGUGGAAGAGGUUUAGUCAACGGGUCUGCAAUAUUCAGAUCCGUGUGUACUUUACAAAUAUCUAUCACUCCACUCUGGACAUGGUCCUGGAUGGAGUUGUAGCGGCGCUUGAUGUGCUUCAUCUUCCGGUGAAACCUGGGCUCCUUGGCUAUGGCAAUGGCUCCAGUGUUAUCACAGAAGAGUGUCAUAGGACCCGACGCGCUUGGAACCACUCCAAGGUCGGUGAUGAGCUCCUUCAUCCAAAUUCCUUCAUGAGCCGCUUCUGAAGCAGCUAUGUACUCCGCUUCACAUGUAGAUGCUGCCACGACUUCUUGCUUGCUGCUGCACCAGCUCACUUCCCCACCAUUCAACACAUAUACGUAUCCGGUCUGUGACUUAGAGUCAUCCGGAUCUGUGUGGAAGCUAGUGUCGACGUAACCCUUUACGACGAGCUCUUCGUCACCUCCAUAAACGAGAAACAUUUCCUUAGUCCUUUUCAGGUACUUAAGGAUAUUCUUGACCGCUGUCCAGUGUUCUGUACCGGGAUUACUUUGGUACCUCCCUACCAAACUUAUGGCAAGGUUUAUAUCAGGUCUGGUACACAACAUGUCAUACAUUAGAGAGCCCACGGCUGAAGCGUAGGGGACAGAACUCAUCUUCUCUCUAUCUGCUGUCGUGGUCGGCGACUGAGUCUUACUCAAUCUCAUACCUUGCAAAACUGGCAAGAACCCUUUCUUUGAGUUUUCCAUAUUGAACUUCUUCAAUAUCUUGUCAAGGUAUGUACUUUGCGAAAGACCUAUGAGGCGUCUCGAUCUAUCUCUAUAGAUCUUGAUGCCUAAUAUGUAUGCAGCUUCUCCAAGGUCCUUCAUUGAAAAACUCUUGUUCAAAUAGGCCUUUAUGCUCUCCAACAUCUCUAUAUUAUUCCCCAUCAAUAAUAUGUCAUCCACAUAUAGUAUGAGGAAAGCUACAGAGCUCCCACUCACUGUAUAAGAUGUCGAUCCGCCCCGCAAAACGCCUUUGGAGCCCCGUUUCUAAACUGUAUAACAUGCCACACCUGACCAGAGAGUAGUCAUCACUCCGCGUUUGCCAGACGUUCAGAAUUUCCUGGGCUGCUGCGGGAGCGGGAGGGUCACCUAGCGGCGCAUUAAGGACAUAAGACUUUUUAGCUGCUUCAAGGAUGAGCUUCAAGUUGCGAACCCAGUCCGCAUAGUUGCUACCAUCAUCUUUCAGCUUGUUUUUUCUCUAGGAAUGCGUUGAAAUUGAGGUUGACGUGGGACAUCUACAAUAUUUAUAAAGACAACUUUUAGACUAAGUUCAUGACAAUUAAGUUCAUUUAAUCAAAUUAAGUAUGAACUCCCACUUAAAUCGACAUCCCUCUAGUCAUCUAAGUGAUACAUGAUCCAUGUUGACUAACCCGUGUCCGAUCAUCACGUGAGACGGACUAGUCACCAUGGUGAGCAACAUCAUGCUGAUCGUAUUCAACCAUACGACUCAUGUUCGACCUUUCGGUCUCUUGUAUUCGAGGUCAUGUCUGUACAUGCUAAGCUCGUCAAGUCAACCUAGGUGUUUCGCGUGUGUAAAUCUGGCUUACACCCGUUGUAUGCGAACGUUAGAAUCUAUCACACCCGAUCAUCACG
rnacentral:lncRNA from 1 species